rnacentral:rRNA from 1 species
GACGAACGCUGGCGGCGUGCUUAACACAUGCAAGUCGAACGAAGUGGCGAAAGGGUGAGUAACGCGUAAUCAACCUGCCCUUCAGAGGGGGACAACAGUUGGAAACGACUGCUAAUACCGCAUCAUGAAGGGGGGGAUUGCGUCAGAUUAGCUAGUUGGAGGGGUCAGGGCCCACCAAGGCGAUGAUAAGUAGCCGUUGUGCGAUGAUCAACGGGCACAUUGGGACUGAGACCCGGCCCAGACUCCUACUGGAGGCAGCCGUGGGGAGUCGUCCGCAAUGUACGAAAGUCUGACGUAGCAACGCCGCGUGAGUGAUGACGGCCUUCGGGUUGUAAAGCUCUGUUAAUCGGGACGCGGUACCGGAAUAGAAAGCCACGGCUAACUACGUGCCAGCAGCCGCGGUAAUAC